rnacentral:rRNA from 1 species
CCAGACUCCUACGGGAGGCAGCAGUGGGGAAUAUUGCACAAUGGGGGAAACCCUGAUGCAGCGACGCCGCGUGAAGGAAGAAGUACUUCGGUAUGUAAACUUCUAUCAGCAGGGAAGAAAAUGACGGUACCUGACUAAGAAGCCCCGGCUAACUACGUGCCAGCAGCCGCGGUAAUACGUAGGGGGCAAGCGUUAUCCGGAUUUACUGGGUGUAAAGGGAGCGUAGGCGGUGCAGCAAGUCAGAAGUGAAAGCCCAAGGCUCAACCAUGGGACUGCUUUUGAAACUGUCAAGCUAGAGUACGGGAGAGGUAAGAGGAAUUCCUAGUGUAGCGGUGAAGUGCGUAGAUAUUAGGAGGAACACCAGUGGCGAAGGCGUCUUACUGGACCGAAACUGACGUUGAGGCUCGAAAGCGUGGGGAGCAAACAGGAUUAGAUACCCCCGUAA